UUCUUUUCUUUUUCUUCCCCUUUUUUUCUACUCUUUCCCAGUUGAGAAAGCUUUUCCAGUUGAGAAACUAAUUACAGGCAACGGCACUCAGCAAAAUGCACGAAAGACAAAUCUGGCACCUUUUGAAACCAGCCCCUCGGAAGGAAGAAUUAGCAACCUGGACAGAGCUCCAGGCAACUCCAGCUCUCCUGCUGCUGGUGCUCCAGCUAAUUCACUUACAGUCCUUUCUCACAGCAUUGCAGCAAUCCUAGCAGAGCUGGAUAUCUAACACCUCUGAGAAACACAGACAAUGAUCAGAGAAUUAAAAUUGCCAGAAAGAAAAGAUAACACAAAGAGAGCCCUGAGGAAACUGCAGUAAGUUUUCUUGACAAUUUUUAUCUACCUGAUUAUUCAUAUCAAGACAGUACUAACCAAGUCCAGAUCAGGAUGGGGUUGUGAACAAUCCUUGGGGCUUGGAAGGCUGUGCAGAACUUGGCACUCGGGAUCAGGCUCAUUUCUCCAUUCUAUUAAGGUGGACAAUAUUAGCCUACAUGAUUCGGGAGGAAAAUGAGUGUGUCCUUUCCCUUCAUUUCUUCUCUCUCUCCCUCUCUCUUUCUCCACGUUCUUCUCCUCUUGUCUUUUUCCCUGUGAGCACUGAAUGAUGGGAUUUUUGACAUCAGAGGAAAGUCAUCCUUUCUCCACUCCCCCAGCUCCUGUCCGCUUCCUUCUUAGACACGUCUGUUCGUUUGCAUACUAUAUCCCCACUCAAAGAACGGGAUCAGCUGAUCCGACCACAGCUUCAUCUAACUAAGCAUCCUAAAUCCUGCCCAAAGUAGACCAGACUGACUGGUUCAUUCACCCUGGCAGCCUGUUUCCAACAAGCCUUUAAAGUACAUUUUGUAACUGUUACAUAGCUGGCACCGACUAUAGCAAAGUCAUUGUUUAGUCAAGGUAAAGUGACCUCUAUUUACUUAGACAACUCAGCUGCCUGCAGGGAAUAACUGGAUUUGAGAUAAGUGAAAACUUGCUGGGAAAGUUUCACUUUGGCUGUGCUGAUGGCUACUACAAUAAGCUGAAUGUUUGGUCAGUUCAUGCCCUUUCUCCUGCAGUUUCUUCAGCUGUUUGAUUUAUUAUCUGCAAGUAGACAGCAAAUGACCCCAUCCAAUUUCAGCGAGUCUGUGGUAAGCCAGAGACAGAUGAGAGAUUUGUUCAACUAAGUAUAUUUUCUGAUCCCAAAUAAAUACCCUGUUAAUUAUCAUAAGAUGCCAGGCACCUGCUGUAAGCUGUUUAUUCAUGUAUUAUAGAAUAGCAUUAACACAAUCCGGUCUUUUUCUAUAUGCAGCUUCUAAUUCCGCCUGCCCUCCCCAUAACUCCAGGCAUUAGUGAGGAGGGCAAGUCAAUUCCAGCUGUACUUGAGGGGAUGGUGACCAGGACUGAGUGCAGGGUCAGGAUAACGGCUGGUGCAAGCUGAGCACCACCCCAGGAACCGCGUAUGCAGUGACUCAGGCAUGACUCUGAGUCACGGCGCUUCUCCUGCUUCCUCCUUUCUCCGGGGGGGGCGGAGGUAGGAAUUUCCUGCUGGCCCGUCCUUGUAAAUCACAAUGUCCUGUUGCAGCAAUGCUGGAAGGGUCAGUGAGUGGGAGAACUGGAGCCAGUGGCAGGUCCACCUGCUCUGGAGAAGGAGAGAUGGGGCAUACUGCCCCACUUAGAUGCGUACACCUCACAUAUCACAGCAGGAUCCUGGGUUGCCUUUCUCUGCAUCGUAGUUCGGCUUCCAGAAUAGCCCUGAUGCCUUCAGAUACCUAAAGCUUUAUAUUAUCCACUCAGCAAGCCAAGAACCCAAUUGUCCUCUUACAAACACAUGAAUGACACUGACAUAAGCCAGGUAAUUUCUCUGCUUUUCUUCAAGUCAGCACCGAAAGUGAGAAGAGAAUCAAGUCCUGAAAGUCUGCAUGGCAUUCCCUAUACCUAUGAAUUUGAAGGUGAAACCAAAGACAUUUGCUGGAGGUUCUGGGACAAAUAGAACCAUUAAAACCCACCCUGUGAAAGUCUUCCCAGCUGUCCUUCAAAAAGUUGAACGUAAUUACAAUUGCAGCUGGAAGGAUUUCACUACCAUCAAAGAACUCAAAACCACAGAUGAGCUGUGCCACGUGCUUUUCUCAAAGAAGGGCCUGAGAAAAGCCAAUGUAUAACUGUGAGAAAAUGGGCCAUGAAUAAUUAGGAAUAAUUUGAAGAGUAUACAUCUGCCUGGUGAAGACUGACCCAGAGUAGAUCUAACCUAUCUGAUGGUGAAAACCAGUGUUUGGAGUAAAAACUGAAAGAUGUAAAAGAAAAGAGG
rnacentral:lncRNA from 1 species